GGAAUAGCUCAGUCGGUAGAGCACUGGUCUCCAAAACCAGGUGUCGGGAGUUCGAGCCUCUCUUC
rnacentral:tRNA from 1 species